GUCCGUGUAGCUUAGUGGAUGAAAGCGUCUGACUUCUAAUCAGGAGAUCCCAGGUUCGAGUCCCGGCUCGGACG